rnacentral:misc_RNA from 1 species
CCCCAAUCUUCACUCUUCCUGCAACUGACCGCCAAAAUCCCUAGAAUUUUGGUUCUCAAUUCUUUACAUGAUCAUAGUAAGCUCAAUUCAGCUUACAGAAUGGCCAGAAACAACAACAGCAACAAGGAAGAGCCAAACACAGCUCCGGACCCAGAUCGCUGGUACGACAUAACCUUAGGCCCCUCCUUUAAAGAACACAACAAUCAUCCCUCUCCCAAGUUCUGCACUUUGCGUUAUGAAUUUAAACCAGCUUCAAUUGAUAAAAGUCAACCAGGAUCACUCCACAAGGGAAAAAAUAACAAGGUUACUGUAGAGUAUCACAACAACCAGUAUGGAAAACCCAAAGUCACCUUUGAGGGUGUAAGUGAGGAUUACAAGGAAAAUGAUGCUGUUUUGUUCUUUGAUGGUGAGACCUUUUGCUUGGAGCGGUUGCAUCGUGCAGUGAAGAGGUUGAGGCAUGUUCGGCUACCUGGUGAAUCUGCAGCUUCCAUGGCGUCAGCUACAUUAGUUUCACCAGCAGUUGAAACCUAUUCACCACCAGUUAGUAAAGUAACAAAUCAACAGUCUUCGAACAAGGUGCAGGUGGAGCAGGUUGGCAUUGGUGACUCAGAGAACUCUGGUGCAGAAUCUACGGAGCAGAAAACUCUGGAGCAUCCAUCACAUCUUCCUAAUCCAUCGGACAUGUCGCCUGACGUUAAGGAUUAUGAACCUGAGGAGCAUUUAGACAUAGUCAAUGAUCAUGAUGAUGGUUGUGGGACAACCAACAGAGACAAUAAUUCUGCAAAGGGAUCAGGCACAUUUCUUGACAUUGAUAUUAACCUGCCACAUCAGGUUGACACGGAUGAUGAGAUAGCUGAUGUUGAUAUCAGUGAUGACGACGCUGACAAGGGCCCUAACGCUGCAGAAGCCCUUAGGGCUCAGGUCAAUGCAGAAGUGAUGAAGGAGCAAGCCUCAAGCUCAAGCACUAGCAGUGGAACUGACAGCAGCACAAGUGAGAAUGGUAGUGGUAGUGGAAGUGGAAGCGGAAGUGGAAGCAGCAGUAGUAGUGAUAGUGAAAGCAGUGACAGUGACUCAGUCACCUCCAUCUGAAAGAGCCAUUUUGGUUCACUUAGAUGCUGAGUUUAAUGAUCUGGCUGACAUGAUGUAGUUUAGGGCUUGUAUUUAGCAUUCAGAUUGGAGAAAAGGGUAGAAUUACUGAAAUUAGUCACUCAUUGCUUGUGUAAUACGAAAUCUUGAGCCAAAUACACCAAAUGAUUGUACAGAUUUAGCUUAAGAUUUUAGCUUCCAUUUUUAAAUCCAGUUUGAUCAAUUUGUUUAGAAGUUGAUAUUAAUGCAGUGAACCUUUUAAAUUCCCCCGGGCCAAGUGAUUCCUGAGAUUUAUUCUCAUGUCACUUACACCCACUGUGUGAUAUGUAAGGAAGACUGAAGCUUGAAAUGUAUAUGUGGGAGGAAGCAAUUCCAAAAUCAUGUUCAAGCAAGU